AAACUGCUGCCUUCCAUUCUGGUUGGGCAGAUUCUAUGCUCCGGAACUUUGAUUUUCUUUCAACAGCCUGUACUUCAGGUCAGCAUUCCUUCUUUAAAAGGCCUAGUUGGGUGAGGAGAGUAUUUUCACCAAAAGAAACCUGCAGUUUCCUCCCCCUCCUCCUGUCUUGUUUUUACCCGGUUCCCCCGCGCGCUCCGGAACCCUGGGCGUUAGUCGGUGAGUCCAGAGCGGAACUGGACCGAGGUGCCAAGUCGCUCUACCUGGAUGAGGCCAAACUGGAAGGGGAUUCGCCCUGUACAUUGGCACAGGGUUGCACGCUCGGGUUCCCAAGCCCCCGGCCGCUGGGUUAUGCAAAUCACUUAGGUACAUGCAAAACUAACCCUUCUCCCGGAGCGCCAUUGGUCCGCGGAGGUCUCGAGCUCAUUACUAUGCAAGGAGGGGAGCCGCCACAGGCCAAGAGUAGGACCAGAGGGGCGUGUUUAUCGGGCAAACUGGAUCUCCUAAAUUGGACGACCUGAAAACUAGAACUUGCCUCCAGCGUUCAGUUAAGUUUCAAAUGACUCUCCACUGUUCCCAAAGGGUGAGGACUUUGGGAGCUGUGGAAAUGGAAGAAAGAUUUUGAAGAGCAGGGGGCAAGCCUCCCUUAAUCUGACAGAGUUAAGCGUUAGCUACGUAUUGAAUUAAAGCGGUGUACCCCCACAGGCCUGUCACUUCACCUGAGAUCUUUAUACCUGUGUUGAUAUGCACGUUAGUAUGGGAGGCUACAUGUGAGCGGUUAACCCGCGACGUUACAAAGUUUUGGUGAUCUUGAUUCAGACUGUUUUCUCACGUACUGUAAAAUCCUAAAACCCGGUAAUCUUGUAAGGGGCAAAAGAGGUGAUGUUUCUGAACACAGGACACUGUCUCCAGACAAGAAAACAUUUGAGUGCUAGAUGACUACCACUAAGAAGCCAGCAGCAACUUUGGUGUCAGGUAAUUAUCAGCAUUCCUUUCUCUUGUAGACUUUUGUGGCUUAAUAGAUAGACCCCAUAGAAUCAUUAUUCUGCUUUGUGGGCACCUCCUUUCUUACUUUCCACUAUGCCUUCAAGUUAUUUUACUCUACAUUAGAGACAUUUUUCAUGAAUACUUUAAGGCAGACAGGGUUUAAAAUGCCACUAGUUUAUAGUUUACCGUUCAUGUCACCUAAGUAAAAUUAAGGAAAAUGGAAAUAAAUUGAUAACGGACCUAAGAAGUUUAAAAUGAAACCUUGCUAUCAUCUUUGCAUUUGAGAGUUUAUCUUUAAAAAAUAAUGCCCAGUUGGACACGCGACUAAUAUACAAUAAAUUUAUUUAUAUGCUAGAAAGUCAAUAGAUAUAAACAUGCCUUGACUUCAAGAUUUUAGGAAUGACAUAUUUCCUCUAAUUGUGGGUCUGAAAGAGAACGUAAAGACAGAUGGACAGCCCUCUGGUUUUAUAGGUAAGAAAUCUGAAGCUCUCUGGUAUUGUACUCUGCCUAAGAUCAUCACAGAACAACCUGGGCUCCUGUGUGCUUGUCUGAUGCCCUUGGAGCCUUCCCUAAAUUGGUGCCCAUUGUCUAAAUCAUUUCCAUUAUUUUCUAGCAGCUCUCAGGAGCAAGUGAAGUGAGGCAAAAUUGUAAAUUUGGUUUCUUUAGUUGAUUCUCUUAAGAUCGCUCUUUAUUUAUUUUUUUAUUUUUAUUUAUUUUUGAGAGAGACAGAGACAGAAUGAGAGUGGGUUAGGGGCAGAGAGAUUGGGAGACACAGAAUCUGAAGCAGGCUCCAGGCUCUGAGCUGUCAGCACAGAGCCUGACGUGGGGCUCGAACUCACGAACCGUGAGAUUAUGACCUGAGCUGAAGUAGGACACUCAACUGACUGAGCCACCCAGGCGCCCCAAGAUUGCUCUUUUAUAACAACAUGGAAAGAUGACAGAAUUUUUCUUGCCAAGAUUUCACUUCCUUUUGCUGCUUUAAAAUGAGAAUUGUAUAUUAUACUGAUGGAUUGAUUGAUUGAUUGAUUUUUGCCCAAAUAUGGAGACUGUAUAAGGGUAUACAGAGGCUCUGCCUGCUGGGCGAAGGUGCCCCAUUACAGAAAUAAAAACAGGGAGAUUGUGGGGAUUCCCCCAUAAUGCUAUAAUGAUUGAAUUUCAAUUUUUUUUGUGAAUUACUUCUAAUUUACAAAAAGAACAAAAAUCAGAAUUCACAGCAAUCAGCUUAAGAAACAAAAUCUUACAUGGGGCACCUG